rnacentral:lncRNA from 1 species
AGAGCUGCAGUUUUUAAAUACAGGCUUGAUUUGUACUCUUUUCAUCAGUGUUAUUUUUAUUAUAGUAAAUUGCAUAUGUUUUCGUUUAAUCGAAGUAUGACCACUGGACAACGGAAUACUACUGGUGCCUUAUUUAUUGAUGGUGAUGUCUAAUUCUCUUUAAAUGUUUUUGCAGGCCACUUUUGGCGUUUUAGAAAAUGCCUGGUGUCUUGAAGGAUUCCCGUUACCGAUAUAUGGAUAUCUAGAUGUGGAGCUAUAGAAACUCUUAAAGUUCCUUUCUCCGGAAAACACUACGACUGGAACCAUUACCGAUUUAACAGCUCCAGGCAAAUCUGUUGAAGAUUAUUAUAAUGAUAUACCGGUACCAAAUAAAACAGUUUCCGAACAAAGUCAAGCAGCAGGCUAUGUACAUAAGACUGACAAGUAUUGUUACUCGAUGUUUCAAAGUGAAUACCACAAAGUUGCUUACAUAGGCAUGUCUAUUUCCUUCAGUAUGCUGAUAUUUAUUAGUAAGAUAUUGGUUUUUAUAUUAGCUUCGAUUUCAGAAGCAUUCAGCACAUCAAUAUUUUCGACAAUUUUAAGUUUUUCUUUCAUAUCAUUGAUUCUUGC